rnacentral:rRNA from 1 species
UACGUAGGUGGCAAGCGUUGUCCGGAUUUAUUGGGCUUAAAGGGUGCGUAGGCGGCCUUGUAAGUCAGUGCUGAAAUAUCCCGGCUUAACCGGGAGGGUGGCAUUGAUACUGCAGGGCUUGAGUAAAGUUGAGGUUGGCGGAAUUGACGGUGUAGCGGUGAAAUGCUUAGAUAUCGUCAAGAACACCGAUAGUGAAGACAGCUAACUAAGCUUUAACUGACGCUGAGGCACGAAAGUGUGGGGAUCAAACAGG